rnacentral:rRNA from 1 species
UACGUAGGGUCCGAGCGUUGUCCGGAAUUAUUGGGCGUAAAGGGCUCGUAGGCGGUCUGUUGCGUCGGGAGUGAAAACUUACAGCUUAACUGUGAGCGUGCUUCCGAUACGGGCAGACUUGAGGUAUUCAGGGGAGAACGGAAUUCCUGGUGUAGCGGUGAAAUGCGCAGAUAUCAGGAGGAACACCGGUGGCGAAGGCGGGAUCCUGGGCCAGUACUGACGCUGAGGAGCGAAAGCGUGGGGAGCAAACAGG